rnacentral:rRNA from 1 species
ACUCAAAGGAAUUGACGGGGACCCGCACAAGCGGUGGAGCAUGUGGUUUAAUUCGACGCAACGCGAAGAACCUUACCUGGGCUAGAAUGCGAAGGAAGAGCGUGCAAAACAUGCUUGUCUGGUGUAAAAGCCAGACCUGAAGCAAGGUGCUGCAUGGCUGUCGUCAGCUCGUGUCGUGAGAUGUUGGGUUAAGUCCCGCAACGAGCGCAACCCUUACCAUUAGUUGCUACAGUUCGGCUGAGCACUCUAGUGGAACCGCUGGUGAUAAACUGGAGGAAGGUGGGGAUGACGUCAAGUCAUCAUGGCCUUUAUGUCCAGGGCUACACACGUGCUACAAUGGCUGAUACAGAGGGCCGCAAACCCGCGAGGGGGAGCCAAUCUCACAAAAUCAGCCUCAGUUCGGAUUGCAGUCUGCAACUCGACUGCAUGAAGUUGGAAUCGCUAGUAAUCGCGGAUCAGCACGCCGCGGUGAAUACGUUCCCGGGUCUUGUACACACCGCCCGU